rnacentral:sRNA from 1 species
UAUAAUGAACACGGCCGCACCACAAGUAAAGUCUGAGGAAGGACAGAAAACGCUCUGGAGGCUGGUUCAGUCACCCGUUAUCAGUAAAAAUGGUUGACCCCUAACAAUAUGUACAAAAAUACAAAAUGUAAAUAAGAAAUUCAAACUUUCCUUUUAAAGUAUGUUUAAGAAAAAUAGCAGGGCCUGGGAAGCUCUGGUUCUCUUCUCCUCCCAUGUUGCUAAUUCAUGUCGUGGUUUGGGUGGGGCGGUGGAGAGCAUAUGUUAUCUGUGGGUGGCUCUGCCCUCUGUGGGCGGGCGUGGCCUGCUUCUCUACUCGAAGAAGAUCACAUUAAAAUUCUGAGACUGGAAGUGGAGGGUGAAUAGGUCACGGUGUGUAAAGUCCUUGGUGGUGAUCUCGGAGCUGGUAUCCACUGCGGAGUCUGACAUGGUGGGGCACGCCGAUGGUCCGGUGCUGCGAAUAAGGAAUUAGUCGAGCUCGAGGACUCUGGUGAGAAAGCUACCGGAGUCCAGGUUGGAAAAGGCAGUAGGCGGCGAAGGUGGCUGCAGUGAGCGCAGAGCAAAGAUGGCUUUUCAGUGGGGACUGGCUUUUGAGUAGCCAGCGGGGGCAUAAUGGGCAUCCUUAUGUGCUCAGAGACAAGUCUCUGAAGAGAAAGCUUAUUGCCCAGAGUGAUGGGACCAGAAGGUUGUUGCAGGAGCAUGAACCUGCAAAAGAAGCCCAGAAUAUUCUCUGGCUUCCAGUAUCAGGGGCAAGGCUUGUCUGUGGCCACACCACCCUGGGCUACCCAGUCUUGUUUGAUUUCAUUCCUAAGCAAGAUCAGACCUGGUUAGCAUUUCACUGGGAGACAGAAGCUUUCGCUUCCAUGCACACUCCUAACAUCGGCCAUGCAGCCUCCUGAGUCUGCAUUGUCAACCUCCAGAACUAGGAAACAAAUAAACCUAGAUUUGGGGGGAGUUUUUAGGGGGCAGUGUUUUGCUUUGCUUUGGUAUGGUAUGGUUUGGUUUCAUUUGGUGGGUGCGUGGGUGGUUGGUUGGUUGGUCAUCGGUAGCCAUGAACAGCUGACAAGGAGCAAAACGAUGCAGUCAUCAGUAGUGGUUACAAUGUGGAUCAGGAAACUGGGGUGCGGAGCAAGGAAGCAAAUUCCCCACAUGAGGCUUCUUCCUGCCUGCGUGUCUGACUUGUUCCUAUGCUGGUCCUUAUCUGGUUCACCCCGCCCCACCCACCCGCCAUGACUGUUUCCAGUUCCCUUGUGUUCCAUGCCCUCUCCAGCCUCAGCAUCUCCGGAUUACUGAACGAAACAGAAGAACGACACUUCUUCUGUCUAGCACCAGAACCAAGGAAAUGAUCGUCAAAGUAUUUCCAUGCUGUAAUCCCCAGGACAAAGUCUAACUUCAGUUCAAUUAAAACUGACUACUAUAUCUAGGGCCAUGGGUAAGGUAUGUCUGCGAAAGAUAAAAUUAUCACCUUCAAAGUUCUAGCAGGAAAGAAGAUGAGUUUUAAAAUAGCCUAUAGUUCAGGACAGAAGAAAAAAAAUAAGUGCCGUAUGAAACCCACAAAAGGCAAAAUUAGUUUCAGAUGAUGAAGAGAUCCUACCAAGAUGAUAAUUAGCAAGCGCCUUGCAGGAGAAUGGCUGCUUGAAAUUGACUUGGAAAGAAUUGAUAGAAUUUCAAUAAUUGGAAAAGGAGAAUAAGAGAAAGGCGCUCCAAGUGGAGGGACUAGCCUCUAGAAAAGGGGCAGAGAAUGGAAACCUGGAGUACGUUUAAGGACAAAAUGACAGUUGACUGUUUGACAGGAAUGUCGAGGAAGUUUUAGAAACGCAACUCUGGAGCUGGGCAUGACAGCACACGCUUGGAUGCAAGGUAGGAGGGUCGUGAGUUCAAAGACAUCCUGAACUACAUAGUGAGUUCGAAGCCUGUAUUGUACAGUAAGACCCUGUCUCAAAAAGGUAGAGGGGGCAAUGAGGGAGGAAGGGAAAAGACAGAAAAUGGCAGGAGGGAAGAGGGGAAGGGAGGAAAGGUCCCAAAUAGAGCAAUGUGCCCAUAACUUUCGGCUAGGAAGGGUUUGGGAUUCUAAGGAUGUAGAUAUUAUUUCAUCUAAUGGCUUCCCAAAAGAAAAUUUACUUACAAAAUAUACCUCAAUCUUUUCUGGUCCACAGCUAUGGAUGGACCUCCUGUGGUUGCCCUAAUUCUAGCAUUCUCAGGCCAACGGAGGCUGAGGCCACGGCCCAUGGUCACUGUGUCAGGCGAGGCUCUGACUAAGAAAGCAAGGAAAACAAGCGGAUGUGCUUGGGCUUCAGUUUCUUUUAACUACACCAUUCCCUGUUCUUAGCCCAGGAUGCCGUCAUCCAGGACUCUGAAAACUCUUCUUUGUCACGAGCUUAGGCAGAAAGUCUCUCCAGCCGUGGGUCAGAAUAAGGAAGACCAGGUUCAAGGAGGCCAAGGCAUGAACCUAGAGUCGCCCAGCUGGUACGUACCAAAGCCAAAUCUCUCCUAAUUAAAAUUCUAUCUAACAAGCCUGCCUCUCAUAAAGAUCAAACCCUCUGAUAGUCUCACUAGCAGGUGUCUUCCAGACUUGCUGAUUGUUCACAAUGGAGCUAAUGGAUGUGCUGCCCAGACAAGUUCCAGGUUCCCCUUAAACAGGUUUUUCACAAGCUUCAAACCAAUUGAGGAGUGUGAAGAAACCAGCGAGAGACACUCCACCCAGCAGCCACUCGAACCAACAGUGGUUUCUGCAGACAGCAGUCUAAUCUCUUGGUCUGGCAAGGCUGGGCAAGAGAUCAUUUUCCAGGCUCACCUGCAAUGCUGAAAUUGGAACAUCUUUUCCCACGCAUGUCCUCAGUACUAGAAAUAGUCCCAGUUCCUGACAUAAAGCAAUCGAAGCCCUAGGGAUUCCCGCAUGAUGGUCAUGUGUGCUUUCGUUCUGCCUGGGCCCUGUGUGUUCACACCCCAGUUUAGGGUGCGAUAUGAACUCAAGCUUCGGGAAAUGCUGGGAUAGCUAGGCGGGGGAUGGGAGGCUUCAGGGGGGGAGUUUGUGGCCAGAGGGAUGGGAUUUUCCAUCCCCACUUCAGGCUCAGGGGAUGGAAUGAAGGCCAGAGACUGGGUUCAGAUCAAUCUUCUCUAUGAAGUACUACCUCCCUAAGAUCCCAAAUGAUAACAUCAGAGAGCUUCAAUCACACAGUUGACAAUCACAUGACGGUCUCAGCCAAGAGAGUCUCAGUCUCAACUCACUGGGAACAGCAGCUAUGGAGCAAGGGCCCUUCUAGGUCACACAUAUACAUUUUCUUCUGACUGUUCAUUUUUAUUCUUUACAAUAACCAAAAAUAUCAAUAAAUAAAACAUUUUCCAAAGUCUUA